AAAUCUAGCAGAAUCUUUAUAUAUAAAGGAAGAAAGGUAAUGAGCAACUGUAAAGUUGUAAGGCGGGAUGUGAGAUAUAUUUCAAAGUGGGGAGAGAAUCAUUUAAAACCCAAUUGUAGCUUAGCUAGUCAAGACCAUAACAUGGCCAAUACCCCCUUUUGCAUGCUACUAAGCAAUAUAUGGUUUCAUAUGUUUGAAAAACAAGGCCAAUUUGGAAAGGAAAGGAAAGGAAAGGAGGGGAACCCAUUCAUUUUUCCCACCAAAUGCAUCAAGUCUCUGUUUCUUCUGUUUUGCUUAAUUAGAGCAAUUUGAUACCCCCCAAAGUCAGGGUUUGUUGACCUCAAGGAAGGUGAGUCCAUUGCCCAUGUUACUUAAAUUACUUCCCACACCACACUAGGGUAGGUAGACAACAAGGGGGGCCACAUUUAAUACAAGCUUUGUCUUUCUUUUUCUUCAUCUUGCUUGGUUUGGCCCCAAUUGUAAAAGCUUAUGCAAUCAAUUUGUUGCCUCUACCUCUUACUUUUUAUCAACUCAUUUGUUUCAUGGUAUUUAUUUCCUUUCCUACUGGUUUAAA